UAGACUAUGGAAGCUGGAAUGCUCUGUAGCCGAAAGGUCCGCCGCCGCAGGAUGAGUCUGCGGCCGAUUAGGUUGUUGUUGGGGUAACGGCCCAACAAGCCUGUAAUCGGUACGGGUUGUGGGAGCAAGAGCCCGGAGAUGGAUUCUGAGACACGAAUCCAGGCCCUACGGGGCGCAGCAGGCGCGAAAACUUUGCAAUGCGGGAAACCGUGACAAGGGAACUCCGAGUGCCCGUAAAUUCGGGCUGUCCGCCAGUGUAAAAAACUGGUGAAGAAAGGGCCGGGCAAGACCGGUGCCAGCCGCCGCGGUAAUACCGGCGGCUCGAGUGGUGGCCACUAUUACUGGGCUUAAAGCGUUCGUAGCUGGUCUGUUAAGUCUCUGGGGAAAUCUUCCGGCUUAACCGGAAGGCGUCCCAGGGAUACUGGCAGACUAGGGACCGGAAGAGGUGAGGGGUACUCCAGGGGUAGGAGUGAAAUCCUGUAAUCCUUGGGGGACCACCUGUGGCGAAGGCGCCUCACCAGAACGGCUCCGACAGUGAGGAACGAAAGCUGGGGGAGCAAACCGGAUUAGAUACCCGGGUAGUCCCAGCUGUAAACGAUGCGCGUUAGGUGUAUCGGUGACCACGAGUCACCGAGGUGCCGAAGAGAAAUC
rnacentral:rRNA from 1 species